AGGCCAGCUCUGUAAGACAUCACAGAAAAAUGUUGCGCCAACCAAGUGGUGAAAAGAAAACUCUGGUGCGAGAUUGAAAAUAAGCUUGAUAUAUCGGGUAAGAUUUUCUUUUUGGCUGUUAGGCUCUUUAGCAGGAACUGUUUGUAAUUGUUUGCUAGCUCAUGCACGAUGAAUAGGUUCUUUCUGUUUACCAAAUGCAUACAGACAUGAGAUGGACAUGCUAACUAGGCACAAUACUUAAGACUUGGCUUUGUUUUUCAGAGAAAGAGCUCAGGAAGAGGUGGGAAUCUCUGCGAACCCAGUAUACCCAGUACAAGAAACUUCCUCAGGAAGUGUUGGAGCACAGAAGACUGGCAGGCAGCAGUGGAUACUGACCCGGCUGCAGUUUUUGGAGCCCCACACAAAAAGGAAGGAAACCUCUUCCAACCUAACUAUCUGGAACUUUCAGCAGCUGAUGUUGAUUCUGAGUCACCAUCAGAUGGCACCACCACACCUAUACUCACCAGAGAGGAGCCACUGCUGAGCACCUCCAGCUUGUCAAGCACUCCUAGGCCUCGGGUGAAGCGCACCAGGAAGAUGCUGGACAAGUCUGUGAGUGAGGAGUCAUCGAACUCAAUGCGCACCAUUGGUCAAAUCCUGGAGAAGUUAGCUUCUCAGGAAGAGAACAAUGCUGCCAUCCACACCUCAUGCAAAAACAUUGAGCACAGGAUGCAGAAGUUGCCCCCACAUUUACUGCCAUAUUUCCAGCACGAGGUGGACAACUGCCUCUUCAAAUAUUCGGUGGACCAGAGCCUGGCAUCAGAAACUUGUCUGUAAAAUUGUAACAGAUGUAAAUAAUUCCUUUUAAUGCCUUGCCACACAGUUGAUUGUUAUAUUUAUAAGAAUUUCAUUGUUCCAUUGUCCUGCACAUUUGAUAAUAAAACACUUUAACUUUGA